GAUGAACACUGGCGGCGUGCCUAAUACAUGCAAGUCGAGCGAAUGGAUUAAGAGCUUGCUCUUAUGAAGUUAGCGGCGGACGGGUGAGUAACACGUGGGUAACCUGCCCAUAAGACUGGGAUAACUCCGGGAAACCGGGGCUGAUACCGGAUAACAUUUUGAACCGCAUGGUUCGAAAUUGAAAGGCGGCUUCGGCUGUCACUUAUGGAUGGACCCGCGUCGCAUUAGCUAGUUGGUGAGGUAACGGCUCACCAAGGCAACGAUGCGUAGCCGACCUGAGAGGGUGAUCGGCCACACUGGGACUGAGACACGGCCCAGACUCCUACGGGAGGCAGCAGUAGGGAAUCUUCCGCAAUGGACGAAAGUCUGACGGAGCAACGCCGCGUGAGUGAUGAAGGCUUUCGGGUCGUAAAACUCUGUUGUUAGGGAAGAACAAGUGCUAGUUGAAUAAGCUGGCACCUUGACGGUACCUAACCAGAAAGCCACGGCUAACUACGUGCCAGCCGCCGCCGUAA
rnacentral:rRNA from 1 species